CUUCGCCCCGUCCCGUCCGCGCAGCGCGUCCGGCCCGCCCGCAGGCCAGCUUCUCUCGGGAGCCCCCACCCAGGCGCAUGGCUCCAUGAAGCAAGAGGAGGAGGCAGAGCGCGAGAGGUCCCGUCCGCCCCAGCCGCGUCUGGGCCAGGAUAAAAGCAAAACCAUAUUCCUGCUGCUGUCAGUUAUGAUGCACUGAGAAAACUUCAGAGACCUAAACUUUUUCCAGAGAAGAGAAGCUUUACUGGUGUUCCAGCCCUAAGAAACCUUUGUUCAAGAAAACGGCAGAUGCUCUGUUGAAUCCACUGGAGAUUGUUCUGAUACUAAGGACAAGUAUCAACCAUCUUUCCUGUGAAAAAUUCCCUCUCGUACUUUAGUUCUGUGGAUCCAAAAUUUAUAGCAUUCUUCUACCACCACAGGGGCUCAUAUGACAUUAACAGACAAGACACUUUUCAGAAAGACAGGCAACGUGUUGGACCUUCCGGAGCUUCUCAGAAGACAGAGGGUUUUCUUUUGAGAUCCCUCCCGUAGCUGUCAUACAGAGUGCGAUUUAUGACUUGUAAGUUGUGCUAUGGAGCUUGACAAAAAAAGUACUUCAACUCGGCCGGGCACGGUGGCUCACGCCUGCACGCCUGUAAUCUCAGCACUUUGGGAAGCCGAGACGAGCGGAUCACGAGGUCAGGAGAUCGAGACCAUCCUGGCUAACACGGUGAAACCGUGUCUCUACUAAAAAAAAAAAAAAAAAAUUAGCCGGGCGCGGUGGCGGGUGCCUGUAGUCCCAGCUACUCCGGAGGCUGAGGCAGGAGAAUGUCGUGAACCCAGGAGGCGCAGCUUGCAGUGAGCCGAGAUCGCGCAACUGCACUCCAGCCUGGGCGACAGAGCGAGACUCCGUUUCAAAGAAAAAAAAAAGUACUCUAACUCAUUUUCAUUUUUGUAGGACUUGAAUUUUUUAGGGCAGUUUCAGUUUCACAGAAAAAUUAAGAGGAAGACGUAGAGAUUUACCAUAUAUAUGUAGUAAUAUAUAUUAUAUAUGGUAAUAUACCAUAUAUUACUAUAUAUAUAUAUAUAACAAGCAUGUGG
rnacentral:lncRNA from 1 species